GUUAUUUUUCUUUUCCAGUACGUUUCCUCUUCAGAUUCUUUCUGCUCAUUUUCCUUAUACUUGUCAUAAAACAUCUGUGUGAGAGAAUUAAAAAAUUAUUUAUCUCAAAUACUUUUUGACCAGUAUUGUGCCUGCACAUUCAGUGAUAUCAAUAUGAUAUACAAAACAAUAAAAAUUGAAAAUAUUUUUUAUCGGAAAAGGACAAUUAAAAUUUUUGAGAAAAAUUGUAAACCUAAAAUGUGGAUAAAAUAUUUGUUCAUUGCUGAUGAAAUUAAAAGUUUAUUUAUACAACAUUCACGUUUUUAGGAAAAGUUGUUGCGAUAUAAUCGAAAUAUAUUGCGAUAUAAAAAUGUCUCACUAUACAAAGCUAUAUUCGGUAGGAACUCAGUUGGAUAUAUUGCUAAGAACACCUGGAGUUCGGCGUUUGGAAGAAAUCUUUACUCUCCUGGCACAGUAUUUUCAACCUAGGAAAGAUGUGCGUCACUCGAACGUAAAAAUAUCGUUGGAUAGAAUCGCAUAAGGUGUAUUGGAUUGUCUCAAAAAGAUACAUCCCAACCAUUCAAUAUUCUCGACGUCCGCUGCAAUUUUUUCCUAUUGGGAAAACAACAUUAUUGAUGAUAAUCAUUGGGACGAAGCAGAAAGUAUCCAGGUCAUGGAUACACUCCAGGAAUAUAUAUUUGGUAAAUUAAACUUUCGAUCAUGCAAAUGGAACGAUUCAAAAUUGGAAUACAUGUGCAUAGAUAAUGUUUUACAACAUAAAUUUGGUCAAGAAGCAAUUGUAUUAACAAUAUAUCGCAGCGUAGCUAGAAGACUUGGUCUACGUUGCGAUAUUCUCUUGGAUAUCAAGCGUAUAUAUUGCCUAUAUUGGAAACCUAAAUAGUAGGUAGAAAUAUAGAUACAGAUAUACAGGGUGUAUCAUAAGUCACGUCGCAAAUUUGAAAAAUGAGUUUGUCAAGUCAUAAUAAGUCGAAAUUAGAGGAUGAUAAAAUUACGUUUGAGCCUUCUUUAAAGAGUUGCUUUAAUAAACAGCCCAAUGCUGUAGCGAGUGAGAAAUUCUUUUUUAAAUCAUGUUAAUUUAAAAUAACUAAGAAGUAAAAUAUAUAAGGCUCUGAUAAAUAAACACAAUAAAAAUCCAAUAAUAGGCCAAUAAGAGCCGCAACGCGGGUGGUAAAGGCAUGAGCAACCGGAAAGCUAAAAACGAACGGCGAAAUAAACAAAACCAUCGAGCCGGCGUAAAGACCCGUGCAAAGCACGCAGCCGCGUGCCUGCGUUGGUUAACACGCGAACAGAUUACCAAUAAACCUCGCAUCAAAACAAUCGAGACGGUUUCGUUCCCUCGAUACAUAUUGCGCAGCUUCUGGAAGACUAGCAUCUCUCCUAACUCUACCAACUCACAAUCAGCUUUAACACCCGCGUCUAAUAGAAUUAAAACUAAGCCUACGGAAAGCCACACUCCAGAUCUACCGGCAGCCGCUUCAGACCUAUUAACUUACCUCGAAUUAAAUAGGGAAUCUAAACCUAAAGAAGAUACCUCACAAGAAGAGUUAUUACCUAUCGAUUUAAGUACGAGACUAAAGGACCAAUUACUAGAAAGCGAUAUGCAAAUAGACCAAUACACAGCCUAUUUGCAAAAUUAAAUUAAGUACUGAUAUAAAACUAUGA